UACGGAGGGUGCAAACGUUGCUCGGAAUCAUUGGGCGUAAAGCGCACGUAGGCGGCCUGAUAAGUCGGGUGUGAAAGCCCUGGGCUCAACCCAGGAAGUGCACUCGAAACUGUCAGGCUUGAAUAUGGAAGAGGGUCGCGGAAUUCCCGGUGUAGAGGUGAAAUUCGUAGAUAUCGGGAGGAACACCUGCGGUGUAGACGGCUUACUGGACCGUAACUGACGCUGAGGCACGAAAGCGUGGGUAGCAAACAGG
rnacentral:rRNA from 1 species